rnacentral:miRNA from 1 species
CGUGUCUUCGGGCUUGAA